CAACACUUCUGAUUCUUAAAAUCCAGCCAAAUAACAAUGUAUGCACGCAUAGCUUGUGUAAGAAGAGACAAGCCCACAUAAAAGUGGAUUAAGUAACCUGAUGAAUGUAAAACAGGGGAGCUUGAGAUGUGAAACAAAGACGUCUUCCAGGCAGAAUUCCCUCCCUGCUCCAUGACUGCACCCUGGAUUUGUUAAGUUUUGGCUUUGAGACUGGGAAAGCCACUCACACUUGUGGACACACAAAGUAAACAGGGAGGCUCAGCUCUAAUAUGUUCCAUACAAGCUCAUAAGAGCUGGGGUUUGCUAAUUUUAUUUCUCGUGGAAAAAGCUUUUUUUCUCUUUCUGCUCUUAUUUCCUUUAUCCUCCAUCUUUCCCUGCAUGCAGGAAAGUUUGCCUGGGGGGGCUUUAAAAAUUCACCUUGUUUUCCUUUACCUCUUCCAAGAAAACUGUCACCUCUCAGAAGACUGCCUGGGGCUGACUGGCAAUCACAGGGGUCCCACCUGAGCUGCUUUUCAUCCAGCUCUUCCCAGAACUGAUCUCAGGGGAGAGGCAGGACAGAGGCUGCCCAAGCCUGCUCAGAAGUGCAGUCACACAGCCAGGGCACCUGGUGCUCCCACUGUUGUACUCCUAUCAGCAUCUCAGGUAUGUUCCUGCAUGCUUUACCAACAUUUCUGACCACCACGGAGAUACCACCCAACAGCUUGGCAAGCUUUGAACAAUAUCAUUAUUAGGCUUUAUAAAACUGCUUGGGUGAUGCAUUUUUUCUAUAGUUUUUUUCUUUGUGUGAUUUUGCUUCAAAUCUCUAACCCCUCUCCAGCUUAUCAGAAAGCAGUGAGUUAUACUUCGCAUAAUAACAAAUUGUACUUUUAAGAAUUAAUUUCAUCAGUUUAGACAGGUUCUGGUGGAAAUUAUUGAUCUAAGGAUUCCUUUCUGUGAUAAAACACAAAUACUGGGAGAGAUAAUACUGCCGCAGAAGAAGAGUCUGGUGCCCAAAAUUUGAUGCUCGGGUAUGUUUGGUUCUGAAACUCUCUGCGCCCUCUCAGGCCAUGUCCAUGCUGUGAAUAAAGAGUGGCCCAGCCACAGAGCUGAACACUAGCCCAGGACAGCGCACAUCCCUCGAGCAUUACCUCAUUGCUGGCUCUGCUCUCAGUGCUGGGACCAGUUCCUGCCAAAACAAACCUGCUCCUGACGUCUCAGACCUGGGAAUGACACUGGAGCCAGGGAGAGUGCUGGGUCAGGGUCAGUCCCUGACCCCUUCUCAUUUAGCAGCAGGCUGAAGGCAACGGACCCAACUCUGAUGCCAUCAGAAGGUGAGAAGCAUUUAUGAUCUGCUCUGAUCUUGCAUAUCACAAUAAAUCUUGAUUUUAUGA